CGCCUUUAGAAUCGGUACAGUUUUCUCUACUAUUUUGAUCCUUUCUGCAAUUCUCUCAUUUCUGAACUUGAAGAAUACAAAUGGAGGCCUGCAAUAUCUUCAGAGCUCUUAAGUCCUUCAGUCUCAGGAUCCCUCAUUCUCGUUCUGUUCGAUCUUCGUUUUCACUCCUCCCAAUUGCCAAAAUUCACACAGGAGGAGAAAGAUUGGUGAAGAAAGCAUAUGAUGGGUUGCUAUUAGACGCUGGGGGUACCCUUUUGCAGCUUCCAAAGCCAGUUGAACAGACUUAUGCUGAAAUUGGGAAAAAAUAUGGUCUUCAAACUACUCCAGCUGAAAUAAAGCAAGGUUUUAAAAGAGCUUUUUCUGCUCCAUGGCCUGAAAAACUGCGUUACCAGGGCGAUGCGAAGCCAUUUUGGAAACUUCUUGUUUCUGAGGCCACUGGGUACAACAAUGAUGAUUAUUUUGAAGAAGUUUAUGAGUACUAUGCCAAUGGUAAUGCAUGGCAUCUACCAGCUGGAGCCUAUGAGACAAUGUUGGUUCUGAAAGAUUCUGGAGUGAAACUGGCUGUCGUGUCAAAUUUUGACACUCGCUUGAGGAAGCUAUUGAAAGAUCUCAAUGUAUUAGAUCUAUUUGAUGCUGUCGCCAUAUCUUCAGAGGUUGGAUAUGAAAAACCAGAUGCACAUAUCUUUAAAUCUGCUCUAGAUGUCUGUGGAAGCUAGAAGAGCAGUUCAUGUUGGAGAUGAUGAAAAGGCUGAUAAAGAAGGAGCUAAUGCUAUUGGGAUCGACUGCUGGUUAUGGGGCACUGAUGUGAAGACAUUUGCAGAUAUACAAAGUCGCUUGCUUCUCACAGAAACCUGACUUUCCAAGCAUGAAGCAGAGUUAGACCAUUUUUUGAUGAACCAGAAAUGAGAGUAAAAGAAAAACCAAUCUUCAUUCAUCCUUGUCCUCCUCCUGACGCUGCAUGAAGCAAAUCUUGGUUCCACUCUCCUUUGUGUUGACAGGACUCGUGCACAUUACUACUCUAGUCUAGAUUCUUUCACCUUUAGAGUCCAAUGGUUUUACUUUGCCAGUGCUUUGCUUUAUAAACAAGUUGUCAAGCACAAGCUAGAUAGCUGUGCAGUUCUUUUAUUGUAAAGUUUUUAAAAGAUAUGUUAAGUAUGAGAAGUUAUUUCUUUGAUUAAGUUAU